GACGGAGGAUGCAAGCGUUAUCCGGAAUUAUUGGGCGUAAAGCGUCCGCAGGUGGCUGUUCAAGUCUGCUGUCAAAGCGCAGAGCUUAACUCUGUACAGGCGGUGGAAACUGGCAGGCUAGAGUACUAAAGAGGGUCGCGGAAUUCCCGGUGUAGAGGUGAAAUUCGUAGAUAUUAGGAAGAACACCAGUGGCGAAGGCGGCUCACUGGCCCGGUACUGACGCUGAGGAGCGAAAGUGUGGGGAGCGAACAGG
rnacentral:rRNA from 1 species